AGUGUGCAUUUUGGCCACAGAACCAUUUUGUACAAUAAAAAUUAGGAGAUCUGUGUCAGUAAUAGAUUUGAUAUAGCUAACUGGAAACAACAUAUUAUUUCAGAGGCCUUAUUUCCUCUCCUGGGCAUUCUGUAUUUCUCUAAGAUACAUAUGGAAUUUCAUUGCAUUGCCUGACACUCAGUGCCAUAGCCUUGAAGACUGAUUUUUAACUACGUAAGUUCAGGGACCUAGUAGGGUCAGUGGAUGAGCUUUAAGUGAUCUGUGACUCCUUAAGUUGUUUGCAAAAUGUUGCUUGUGUAUGUGCAAUUAAGUGGGGAAAAAUGUUCUAUUUCCCUAAUUAGGUUUUCAGAGGGCUCCAUGAACCUAAAGAAGUUAAGAACCAAUAGUAAAGAGUUUACAAAACAUUAUUAUUCCCAUUUUAUAAUUAGAAAAUUGAGGAAUAGAAAUUGACAGCAGCUGAUUUGCUGCUUAAGAAAGAAAAUUAGAUGUCAUAGUUCCCUAAUCCUGUAAUGCUAUAAGCUAUUAGAUUAUUAAGACCACUGAAGCAUAUAAAAAAUGGGGGCAUCUGGCCCAAAUUAGGGUCUGUAGGGAGUUGUUUGCCUUCCCAUCAUAUAUCCAGUGAGGGCCCUGCACUCGUGUUGGAGUGGGCCUUUCUCCACUAAACCACCAUAAGCUUAUGCAAUUGGAUUUGAGAAAUUAGCAGCUGCAAGAAACCACCAACCCCAAUGGGGAAAGGCUACAGUCCAGAUAACUGAAAUGUUAACAAGGCAGAAGCACUUAACUUUGGUCUGCCUUAGGUGGCAAAGGAAACCAGAGAAAACAAGUAUCGGGGCUCUGCUAUCAAGGUAAAUCACAAUACAUUCUUCCCCCAUGACUCUUCCCCAUAUCCUCUCUGUUGAACCUCUGAAGUUAACAAUAGGGGAUAAAAUGCAGGAGGGUUUUGUUGUUAAGAAUUGGAAACUGAAACUUACUAUAAAAUUACUUAGACUCUGGAAAGCUCUGGGCAUCAAGAAAUGGGCUGAUAUGUUUUUCUCUUGAGUGGCAGACUACACAUGCUUUCUUUCCUGCCACAAAACCUGACUCUCACAUCUAUUUCUCAAUUCAGAGGGUCUACUGUGUGGAUGCCCAUUUGACUAUAGAUGUCAAAAUCUAGUCACUGAAGUUUAAUUUCCUUAAUCUGAAUUUCAGAUUUUUAUUUUCUGCACUAACUAGAAAUUGUUGACCACAAUGCAAGAUUUCUAAAGUUAAUGUCCUAGGUAUGAAAGAGAAAUUGAAUUUUUUUUUUGUAUUAAAUAAGCACAUACUUUAAGGGUUAGCUUCUAAUAAGAUGUGCUGGAAUUAAUCGUCAUUCAUCUGUAAUUCUAAAGCACCUAGUUCAUACCUUGAUUGUUAACACUUUUCACUAUUUAUUUGAGUUGUUGCUGUGUUUAUCUCCCUUGCAUAGAUAGUAAAUUUCUUGAGGGUGGGGCCCAUGUCUUUUUCUCCUUUUUCUCUUUGUUGCCUGAUACUCAACAAUUAGUUCUUGAGUGGGCAAAUAGAAAUUGUUUCUAAAUAAUCAUUUCAUCCUGUUCAGAGUGACCAGUUUGCCAAGAAUUCUGACUGCCUUAAUCUUUUUAAUCAUUGAUAGUGUUGUUUCCUUGUUUUCUUUCUGUAGAUUUUUAACAUGAUUAAAAAGAGUUCUAAAGAAAUAGGUAAGCUUUACAAUGAAAAUCAAUAUUUCUUUUGAAAUCCUCCCUUUUCUAGGUGCAAAGUCCUUCUUGGAUGCAACCUCAACCAUAUAUUCUACAGCACCCCGGUGCCGUGUUAACUCCCUCAAUGGAGCACACCAUGUCACUACAGCCCGCAUCGAUGAUCAGCCCUCUGGCCCAGCAGAUGAGUCAUCUGUCACUAGGCAGCACCGGAACAUACAUGCCUGCAACGUCAGCUAUGCAAGGAGCCUACUUGCCACAGUAUGCACAUAUGCAGACGACAGCGGUUCCUGUUGAGGAGGCAAGUGGUCAACAGCAGGUGGCUGUCGAGACGUCUAAUGACCAUUCUCCAUAUACCUUUCAACCUAAUAAGUAACUGUGAGAUGUACAGAAAGGUGUUCCUACAUGAAGAAGGGUGUGAAGGCUGAACAAUCAUGGAUUUUUCUGAUCAAUUGUGCUUUAGGAAAUUAUUGACAGUUUUGCACAGGUUCUUGAAAACGUUAUUUAUAAUGAAAUCAACUAAAACUAUUUUUGCUAUAAGUUCUAUAAGGUGCAUAAAACCCUUAAAUUCAUCUAGUAGCUGUUCCCCCGAACAGGUUUAUUUUAGU
rnacentral:sRNA from 1 species